GCCAGGGAGGUGGCGGCGGCGCCGCGGGCCGGCAGCGAGCACGGCACGGCACGGCUCGGCUCGGCACGGCCCUGCGGAGACUGCGGGGCACGGCACGGCCCGGUCCUGCGGAGACUGCGGGGCACGGCACGGACACGGCCCGGCCCUGCGGAGGCUGCGGGGCACGGCUGCCGCCGCAGCGCCUCGCUCGCUGCCCACCUUGCGGCAGUGCCGCGGCCCCGGGGGCCUUGGCGCCCCCAGCAGCGGGGAGCAGCUGCGGCCGGGCCGGCGCUGCGGCGGAGGAUGCUGCGGCCGCCGCCCCGAUUACUGCACGGGGGCUGCGCGGCUGGAGGAUGCUCCGGUGGCCGGCCUGGAAAGGAGGAAAAAAGGAGGAAUUGAAGCAUCCUGGUCUUGUUUGGUUUUUUUUUUUUUCCUCGUUAAGUGAGCGUGACUAAAGAAGACAGGUAUUUUGGCAAAAGGAACCUCGGCAUAGUAACUGUUCUUGCCGAAAGUUCCCACCAAAUCAUUUAGUUAGAAUAAAGAAGACUUUGUGAAACCCCUAACAUCUGUAUCCACAUCCCACAUGCUUCAGGAAUGGCCUGGAUGAGACAAAGGGAAACAUUUGCAUCCUUGAAUGGACUUUGAUCUAUCAGACAUCCACUAGGAAACUGGAGAAGUGCUGACUGCCUUUAGGAAGAGGCUUGAAGGAUUGCAGCCCGAAGCAGUUGGCCUCUCCCACCUCUCUUUCCAGGAAGCUGGAGGUCAAAUUGGAGGUUCUGAGUUCCAGGCAGCUGAACACCAGGGCUGGGGUUUGUUUGUCCCAUGGCUUGUGCAGCACCAUCCAAAGGGCGGCAGGAGGGGCAGUGGCCACAGGGCCAGCAGCUCAUGGAGAGCAGCUGCAGCCCCAGGGAACUGGGCUGAGCCAGGCUUGCUCCACAACUGUGAUACCAUGGAGUCCAGCUCCAUGCUGCCUUUCUACCUUUGAAGUCUGCAAUAGUUUGUGGUUUGGGUUUUUUGGGUUUUUUUGGUUUUUUUUCGGACUUCUCAAAUGGCAUUGAAUUGUCAAGCAAUCAGAAGUAGAGCCUGGAAGACCUGAAAAAUAUUAACAAAUUUUUUGAACAGCAAGAGUGAUUUUUACAGGUAUGCAUAUCUCCUGUUUCUGUUGGUGUCCUAUAAAUAAGAAAAAGAGAUUUUAAAAAAUAACCUUGAAGUUAAUUUUUAAUACAGGAACCAUAAUUUAUUAAAACUAGAGAAAUUAAUUUUGGACUAAAUGCAUACCUCAGGUGCUCCAAGACAAGGAUGUAUUUAAAAUGACAAGCAAACAAAAUCCAUUACAUAGACAGAAUAAAAUUGAAGCAAGUCAUUAUUUGAAAUACAAAAAUGCAAUAUAUAUCUUAUUUUAAAAUAAGUUAGAUGAUUUCUUUUUCUACUUUCUUUUUCCACCUUUCUAAAUCUUGUGGAAGGACAUAUGCCUCAGGCAAACUCUGGAAUUAUUUCCUUUUUGAUAAAAGGGUCUUUCUGUCUUGAAGGCUAGCUGGUCAGUAAUAUAGCUAAACCUAAACAGGAGGAGGAGUAAAGCUUUUGAUUUAGUACAGUGUUUAUGUUAGGAAAGAUGUUUAAUCCUCAGUUUUCUGAAGUGUCUCUACUGUCAGAUACUACCCUAUACCAGUAUGCAACAUUCACUCUCAAAAAUGUCUGCUACCCUCUUUUUAGUGAGGUUUUUUUUUCUUAUUUUUGUAAAAUUUUUUGUGGGUUUUUUUUUCUUAUUUCUGUAAUUCUUAUUUUUGUAACAAGGUAAAUAAAAAACA